rnacentral:lncRNA from 1 species
CUCACACAGUGCCAACCCUGUGAGAGAAAACUAUGGUACUGAUUUCUUCGGUUAUAAGGUUAUGUGUUCCCCUAGGAUUUAAGAUGGUGAAGUUACUUGAUGUAGGAACUAGGGUAUACUAUGACUGUAUCACCUUUUGAUGUUUAUUGACUUGCUUCAAUAAGAACUUCAGUGCUUGAGUCCAACCCUGUAAGGUUUCACUUUGCUCCAAUUACUCAAUCAGAACUCAUGGUUCUAUAUGUUGUAGGCUCUGAACUUCCUUCAAUCAGAAUAUGAUUUUUCACAAGAUCAUGAAAUAUUUAUGUCCCCUAGGUUCUUAUUGGCCAAUUUCUCAGAUUAGGAGUUGAUAUAAACAUCAAUAUGCUUAAGGUAAUGCACCCUACUUUGCAUAGUAAACCAUAUUGAGCUAUUGUGAAUGCAAAACAUCUUUAAUAACUGAAGAUGAUGUCACAGCCCUACUUUAGUUUAUAGAUUACAAAGAGAUUGCCCAAUCUAGAAAAGAAAAGGUGGAUGCCAAACUGAAGAGUCAUGUGAUGUAAGCAGCUGGGAUGCUAAAAAGUUUGUGUAAGUUCUACUGGCUUGCUCCCGAAUAUUAGCUUGCUCGAAUAGAAAAUGUCUCAGAAUCUUCUGAAAGAUCAUUUGUUGAUGUUAUUUGAGC